AAAGAAUAAGAAAUCUAAUCUUUGGCGCUGUUCGUGCAAAGGCGUUAUGGAAACUAAAAAUUAAAAAUGGAAGGAAAACCCCAAAAUCGGCUGCAGGAGGAGGCAAUACCACAACAGGGCAAAUCCGCAGACUAGUUGAAGUGGUGGAGGAGUUUCACUAGAGAAUCCCAGUGGGAAGGAACAUGCCGAGUGAGACUACGCUCCCUACGUGGACAUCCUGCCGGGCGUGUCCUCUCAAAGAAAAACCACCAUCUCCGACGAGUUCUCCGUACACCACCACCACCAGCUACUAGGUAGCUUAAGUGGAGCUGGAGGACGCGCUGGCUACUAUAGGAAGGAGGAAAAUAGGGCGCCCGCCAAGGAACAGAUGGAGAUGCCAUAGCCAACCACUGCCAGGAUGCUGGGCGACUUCCUGCAGUAUCAGCGGAUCAACCCCGUUCUCAAUCCGGCUACCACUUCCUCAAGGUCCAAUAUGCUCAUUGAGACUUGGAGCUGGACUGGACGUGGGAUGAGAAGGAAGCUUUAAACUACUCACCCUUCAGUUCUGCAGUAGGGACGCGGUGACAUGGCUCAAGGCAAAAAGCUUUUUUGUUUUUUUUUUUGUGCCUAAAACGCUGUG